rnacentral:tRNA from 3 species
GCUCACGUAGCUCAGGUGGUAGAGCGCAUCCUUGGUAAGGAUGAGGUCACCGGUUCGAAUCCGGUCGUGAGCUCCA